GUCGGCCUCGCCGUGCGGGGAGCGCGACGGGGGCGAGGGUCGCGCUCAGUCGUGCUGCGCGGGGUGCGGCCGCCCGCGCCUAGCUCCUGCUGUGAUGGGUUUGGGGCCAAGCCACCCCUCCUCUGGUGGCUUAUAAGAAGAAAUGGGGGAGAAAGCAAAGCAAGGCCACCAUGGCAGGACACUACAGCCCAGCCCAGGUGGACGCCCCGAUGUCAGAGCUGAUGUACAAGAACAUAGAGCAGCACGAGCCAGGUGAUGCGGGUUCCCAGGAUGCCCCUGAGCUGGGCAAGGAGCAGCUGGACAUGGAUACCCCCCCGAAUCUUCCACAGCGCAGAUGGGGAGCAGAGCCGCAGGGAACAGCAGGGCAGCCACCAUCUACAGCCAGCCCAUGAAGACAGCCCCCAAGACCAACCCUGACAACGUCCAAUACUCCACUGUCAAGAUCCAACCAGCCCCGCAGAGCCGCGCACCUGCCUCAGACCUUACCUGUGACUAUGCCAACAUCAAGCACUACGCGUCAGCCGUGGGCAACCCCAUCACCCCUAGUCCUGGCACCAGUCUCAGGAGUGGGGACUGGGGGUCACGUCCUGGGAUCAGUGAUGGGAGAGAAGAUCAGUGGAGCUUUAUGGGUGGAAGGGGCUAUGUUGCCUGGAAAUUUUCUCUCCAUUUCCUGAGUCCCAUGGUCCCUAGGGCAUUGAAUUAUGCUAAUUAGGCUCUGUUAUGAAUUGAUUGCCUUAAGCCUGGCUUCUCAGGACAGCUAAGUACAAUGUACACAGCUUUGAACAAGGUGUGGAUAAUGGUGUGUGAUGUAAGAAGCUUUAACGAGGCCUGAGUGGUGGGCUGGAGUAUGGCAAAUUUUUAAUGAGCUGUGGACAGCUAAGCGGCUUUGAAUGAGGCAUGCACUGGAUGUUGGCACAAAAUGUAAUAAUAAGCUUUAAAGAGGAGUGGAUGGUGGGACCAAAUACUGGGGUGCUUUAAGGAGGUAUGGCUAAGCAGACACAAGAGGCUUUUAAUGAAGCAGAACAUAAUGUAACAAGCCUUAAUGAGGUGUGGACAGCUAUUUCCCCACCCUUUGGCUGAAAUUUCCAUAUGGAAAUCCAUGGCAUUUGCUAUUUGCAUAAUUGACCUACCUACCCAUCUUCCCGGCAGGCCUCUGAAGUGGCUGAGAUUUUAGCUGUUGUAUAAUGAGUAAUGUGUAUUUUACCCUGACUUGUAUCCACCUUGGGUGGGUGUCUCUGAGCCCACCACUGUUCUCCCCUGUGUGAUUCCUUGCUUUCAAAUAAAGCUCUAUCCUGCUCA